GAUGAACGCUGGCGGCGUGCUUAACACAUGCAAGUCGAGCGAGAAGUUUUGAAAAGAUUCUUCGGAUGAAAUUUAAAAUGGAAAGCGGCGGACGGGUGAGUAACGCGUAGGCAACCUGCCCCAUACAAAGGGAUAGCAUUUGGAAACGAAUAUUAAUACCUUAUGAAACUUAACUAGUGCAUGCUAGGUAGGUCAAAGAUUUAUCGGUAUGGGUUGGGCCUGCGUCUGAUUAGCUAGUUGGUGAGGUAACGGCUCACCAAGGGGACGAUCAGUAGCCGACCUAAGAAGAUGAACGGCCAAAUUGGAACUGAGACACGGUCCAAACUCCUACGGGAGGGAGCAGUAGGGAAUAGUGCAAAAUGGGGGAAAGCCUGAAGCAGCAACGCCGCGUGAACGAUGAAGGCCUGUGAGUCGUAAAGUUCUGUUCUAGGUGAUGAAAACUGACAGUAACCUAGGAGAAAGCCCCGGCUAACUCCGUG
rnacentral:rRNA from 1 species